rnacentral:rRNA from 1 species
GAUGAACGCUGGCGGCGUGCCUAAUACAUGCAAGUCGAGCGAACUGAUUAGAAGCUUGCUUCUAUGACGUUAGCGGCGGACGGGUGAGUAACACGUGGGUAACCUGCCUGUAAGACUGGGAUAACUUCGGGAAACCGAAGCUAAUACCGGAUAGGAUCUUCUCCUUCAUGGGAGAUGAUUGAAAGAUGGUUUCGGCUAUCACUUACAGAUGGGCCCGCGGUGCAUUAGCUAGUUGGUGAGGUAACGGCUCACCAAGGCAACGAUGCAUAGCCGACCUGGGAGGGUGAUCGGCCACACUGGGACUGAGACACGGCCCAGACUCCUACGGGAGGCAGCAGUAGGGAAUCUUCCGCAAUGGACGAAAGUCUGACGGAGCAACGCCGCGUGAGUGAUGAAGGCUUUCGGGUCGUAAAACUCUGUUGUUAGGGAAGAACAAGUACAAGAGUAACUGCUUGUACCUUGACGGUACCUAACCAGAAAGCCACGGCUAACUACGUGCCAGCCGCCGCCGUAAUAC